rnacentral:tRNA from 1 species
UCCAGGGUAGCCUAGUGGACAUGACACCUGCCCGGUAAGCAGAAGAUUGUGGGUUCGAUUCCCGCCCCUGGAC